rnacentral:rRNA from 1 species
GACAGAGGUGCCGAGCGUUAGGCGGAAUCACUGGGCUUAAAGCGUGUGUAGGCGGACCGUUAAGUACCUUGUGAAAUCCCACGGCUCAACCGUGGAACGGCUGGGUAUACUGGCGGUCUUGGGCCACUCAGGGGCGAGCGGAACAAGUGGUGGAGCGGUGAAAUGCGUAGAUAUCAUUUGGAACGCCAAUGGUGAAAACAGCUCGCUGGGAAUGAUCUGACGCUGAGACGCGAAAGCCAGGGGAGCGAACGGG